CAGAUUAAAGCUUUAUUAAGCAUUUUAGUUACAUUAAAAAGAUUACUUUACUGGUAUAAUCUGA
rnacentral:tRNA from 1 species